GAUGAACGCUGGCGGCGUGCCUAAUACAUGCAAGUCGAGCGAACAGACGAGGAGCUUGCUCCUCUGACGUUAGCGGCGGACGGGUGAGUAACACGUGGCUAACCUACCUAUAAGACUGGGAUAACUUCGGGAAACAGGAGCUAAUACCGGAUAAUAUAUUGAACCGCAUGGUUCAAUAGUGAACGACGGUUUUGCUGUCACUUAUAGAUGGAUCCGCGCCGCAUUAGCUAGUUGGUAAGGUAACGGCUUACCAAGGCAACGAUGCGUAGCCGACCUGAGAGGGUGAUCGGCCACACUGGAACUGAGACACGGUCCAGAGUCCUACGGGAGGCAGCAGUAGGGAAUCUUCCGCAAUGGGCGAAAGCCUGACGGAGCAACGCCGCGUGAGUGAUGAAGGUCUUCGGAUCGUAAAACUCUGUUAUUAGGGAAGAACAAAUGUGUAAGUAACUAUGCACGUCUUGACGGUACCUAAUCAGAAAGCCACGGCUAACUACGUG
rnacentral:rRNA from 1 species